rnacentral:tRNA from 1 species
ACACUCGUAGCUCAUUUGGAAGAGCACUCCGCUACGAACGGAGAGGUGGGAGGUUCGAAUCCUCUCGGGUGUACCA